CCAGACUCUACGGGAGGCAGCAGUAGGGAAUCUUCGGCAAUGGACGGAAGUCUGACCGAGCAACGCCGCGUGAGUGAAGAAGGUUUUCGGAUCGUAAAGCUCUGUUGUAAGAGAAGAACGAGUGUGAGAGUGGAAAGUUCACACUGUGACGGUAUCUUACCAGAAAGGGACGGCUAACUACGUGCCAGCAGCCGCGGUAAUACGUAGGUCCCGAGCGUUGUCCGGAUUUAUUGGGCGUAAAGCGAGCGCAGGCGGUUAGAUAAGUCUGAAGUUAAAGGCUGUGGCUUAACCAUAGUACGCUUUGGAAACUGUUUAACUUGAGUGCAAGAGGGGAGAGUGGAAUUCCAUGUGUAGCGGUGAAAUGCGUAGAUAUAUGGAGGAACACCGGUGGCGAAAGCGGCUCUCUGGCUUGUAACUGACGCUGAGGCUCGAAAGCGUGGGGAGCAAACAGGAUUAGAUACCCUGGUAGUCCACGCCGUAAACGAUGAGUGCUAGGUGUUAGACCCUUUCCGGGGUUUAGUGCCGCAGCUAACGCAUUAAGCACUCCGCCUGGGGAGUACGACCGCAAGGUUGAAACUCAAAGGAAUUGACGGGGGCCCGCACAAG
rnacentral:rRNA from 1 species